UCUAUCAUUUUGAAUCAACCAUGUCUGGAACUCCUCGCGAAACGAUGAUGUGCGGAUCCGCUGAUCGUUGAUCUCCUCCACUAACUCCGUUGUUUCUUGGACUUCAUUGCCUGCCAUAGACUUGUUUCAUUCAACAACGAGGUGGUGGAGGACAUCAAAGAUCAAUUGCAGGAUCCAACUGCUUUGCUGAGAAUGAGAAUGCAUAUUCACCACUGCUUCGUGCGAGUCAGUAAUGCAAAAUCCACUAACAAUAUCUUUGCUUCAAUCAUAUGAAAUGAUGCUUUUAUUCUCUGGUUAAUUGCAGGAUCCAAUUCUUGCGGAUGCAUUUUCAUGACUACUUCGUGCGAAUCAUAUGGAAGCAUAAUGGUUGCGAUGGAUCAGUGUUCAUCAACUCUACAGCGAACAAUACUGCAGAAAAAGCGUCAUCGAUUUGAUGUUAUUGAUGAUCUGAAGGUAGAGAAGAAUUGUUUCUUGUGCGAACAAUACGCAACAAGAAAUGUCAUCUCUGAGAGGAAACAAGACAUUCCAACGGAGCUUGCAGAAAAGCUGUAGCAAAUUGGGUUCGGGCGUCCUAUGUGACUCCGUAUUGGGGCAGAAUGCAAUCGGCCAAGAAAGAAAGAAUGCGAUGGAUCAGUGUUGAUCAAUUUUAUGUUAUUGAUGAUGUGAAGGUGAGAAGAAUUGUUUCUUGUGCGAACAAUACUGCAACAAGAAAUGUCGUCGCUAAGGUUGUGGUCUGGAGAAGUCUCUCAAAGCUGAUGUUCUUUAAUAUUCUGGUUGUGUGUGCAUAUUGGGUCAGACAAGUUAUCUUUCGUGGAGCCCAUUUUGUCCAGGGAUGAAGUAGUGAAGGCCGUUGUAAGCACCGUGCCAGGGGAGAUUCGAACCCUUGCCAUGGUGGACCAAAUGUUUGAAGGGCUAAUUAAGCACCAGAUUGGCAAUGAAGGAUCGGUUGUAGAUAAUUUCUUAGUACAAGCUACAAAUGUAUUUGUGUGA